UACAGAGGGGGCAAGCGUUAUUCGGAAUUAUUGGGCGUAAAGGGCGCGUAGGCGGCUUUUCAAGUGACGGGUGAAAGCCCUCGGCUUAACCGAGGAACUGCCUGUCAGACUGGAAGGCUUGAGACCGGGAGAGGUGAGUGGAAUUCCCAGUGUAGCGGUGAAAUGCGUAGAUAUCGGGAGGAACACCAGUGGCGAAGGCGGCUUCCUGGCCUGUUCUUGACGCUGAGGCGCGAAAGCUAGGGGAGCAAACGGG
rnacentral:rRNA from 1 species